GGCGGCAGGCCUACCAUGCAGUCGAGCGGAUGACGGGAGCUUGCUCCUUGAUUCAGCGGCGGACGGGUGAGUAAUGCCUAGGAAUCUGCCUGGUAGUGGGGGACAACGUUUCGAAAGGAACGCUAAUACCGCAUACGUCCUACGGGAGAAAGCAGGGGACCUUCGGGCCUUGCGCUAUCAGAUGAGCCUAGGUCGGAUUAGCUAGUUGGUGGGGUAAUGGCUCACCAAGGCGACGAUCCGUAACUGGUCUGAGAGGAUGAUCAGUCACACUGGAACUGAGACACGGUCCAGACUCCUACGGGAGGCAGCAGUGGGGAAUAUUGGACAAUGGGCGAAAGCCUGAUCCAGCCAUGCCGCGUGUGUGAAGAAGGUCUUCGGAUUGUAAAGCACUUUAAGUUGGGAGGAAGGGCAUUUAUCCAA
rnacentral:rRNA from 1 species